rnacentral:rRNA from 1 species
UACGUAGGGAGCAAGCGUUGUUCGGAUUUACUGGGCGUAAAGGGCGCGUAGGCGGCGCGGUAAGUCACUUGUGAAAUCUCUGAGCUUAACUCAGAACGGCCAAGUGAUACUGCAGUGCUAGAGUGCAGAAAGGGCAAUCGGAAUUCUUGGUGUAGCGGUGAAAUGCGUAGAUAUCAGGAGGAACACCGGUGGCGAAGGCGGGUCUCUGGGCAGUAACUGACGCUGAGGAGCGAAAGCGUGGGGAGCGAACAGG